GCUAAGUCGCUGUCGCCCGUGGCUGCCCCGCCGCUACGCGCCCUUGCAUCCAGCUCCCUUGCCUGCGCCUCGAGUUCAGCGGCCCGCUGGUUCAGUGCGGCCCUCUCGGCGCGGGCACUUUCCAGAUUGCGACGCGCUUGUUCCUCUUGCGCAGCUUCGCGGAGGGACGCGCUCUCCACUAGCCUCUGUGCUGCGGCCUCGGCCUCCUCGAGGGCUCGCUCCCGCUCGGUGAGCGUAUCCUCGUGGAGGCGGAGUGCGGACUCUUCUUCGGCACAGGCGGCUUCGUGCACCGCCAGUGUGACCUCCCGAAUAGCAACGGCGGCCUCGCGGUCCGCCAGGUCCCUCUCCACGACGCAGGCACGCUCUUCCAGCGCCAUGGCACGGGCCUCAAGGGUUUCUUCGCGCCGCCGGGAUGCCACCUCGGUCUCCGCCGCCCGCCGUUCUCGGGCAGCGGCAGCGUCAAGGACCCCCCGGGCGGCGUCGAGCUUCUUCCCUAGCUCCGCCUCCUAGCUCCCGUAUUGAAGGCGGAGGUCGUCCUGCGCCUCGUUCAUCACGGUAGUGGCGAUGAGGGCAGCCCCCCUCUCCUCCUCCACCUCCCUGGCGAUCUCCCCCAGCAUCUUCCGACGGGCUUCGAGCUCUGAGACGUGCCGGCGGUGUGCCUUACGGCCCACCUCCACCAUGGCCUCCACCGAGCGACGCCCCUCUUCGACACGUGCCCAUGCGGCGUCGAGCUCCACCCGCUCUGCUUGCAAGGCCUCCAUCUGGGCACUUAACCCGUCCAACACCGUGGUGUUAGCGACGGCCAAGGCCUGCAGAAGAGGCUCUGCGCUCAGUGGGGCAGCGGAAGGCGUGGGGGAGAGCCGCCUCGGUGAGGAUGCCGCGCGGCUCGGCCCGCCGAUGGACGUGCCGGACUCAGGGAUGUCCCCCGACCUGGCUUGUCCUGAGCGUCGCCCGAGGGAGUGGGCCCAAGCGAUGCGCCUGCGACCUCGUCGCGAGCUGCCUCGGAAGUCGUCGCCGCCUCGGCCUGGCGAAGUCUGGCCUCCUCCCGAGCGGCUUCUUCAGCUUGGCGAGCUCGGACGGCCACCUGGGCGGCCUCCUCGGCUUCCCGUAGGCGAUUCGCGGCUUCUCGCCGGUCAGAUUCCCGCCUCCGAGCCUCCGUGGUCGCCGCAUUUUCGGCCUCAGAUUGGCCGGACUUGAAUUGGCAAGAAGGACGCGACGGGAUCUCGCUGAAGCAGAAGAAAAGCCAGAAGACAAACAAGAUGGGUGAAUGAAAACUUGUGUUGGAAGAAUGAAUACAGCCACAAUGGGCGUGGGACGAACUUGCGAGGGGGUCGGUUAAACGACCACCUUGGAGGGGAAAUGAGGUUUCCCCGGGAUGGUUCUGUCCCCCCCAUCUUGCGGAGCCGUUUCUUCUUCCGCUCCCCCUCGGGCUGCGGCGUCGGUGCGGCCCCCUCCGGGCGCCUGCUGCUGACACGCGCCGCCCCGCCCCCUCGGGGAGGAGAUGGGGAGGAAGUACCCUCUUGCUUCCUCUUCCCUCGGGCGUCGGCAGGGCGGCUGCCCCCCGAGCCCCCAUCACGGGGCCCGGAAGCACAACCCCCUCCUAGGGUAGAUUGAUCUCCCUUGCGUCUCCCGCUCGCACCGUCAUGGCCCUUAGGAGCUCGUUCCUCUGAGGCCCCGACCGCCAUCAUGAUGGACAGGAUGUUGGCGCGAUCUGGAUCGCUGCAGAGGGGGAGGACUCCUUGGGGGAUGAGGGAUGCCUCCGCGGAGCUGAGAUUCAGCACCCGUUGGAUCAUUACCUUGAAGUCUUCGGGGACCCUGUCCCAUUUGACCCCCCGGUGGGUCCUCAUACAGUCCUCGGACCCGGUGUACUCCCAGGCGCCCCGGGCGCGCCGCUGGAGUGGCGCGAUCCGGCGACGAAGAUAGUCGCCGAACACCAUGGCCCCUGUGAGCCCCUGGGAUCGCAGGCCCGCCAGGCGGUCGAGGACGGCGUCGUAGCCAUCUCCCAGAUCUACCGGCGCCCGCCAGUUGGAGGCCUGCGCUGGAGGCUGGCUCGGAAGUCGGAGGCGCGCUUCGUCGGCGAGGGGGGUGUAGAACCAGUCGCUCUUCCAGUCAUCCCACUUCUUGCGGAGGACGCAGGGAAUGUAGCGGUUCAGCACCGGCCCCCGCGGCUGGAAGUAGCAACCACCAACCACCGACGGCGGCGACACCGGCUGUACGGUGAAGAACCACCAGAACAGCCGAAGGGAUGGGCGCACCCCGAUGAACAUCUCGCACAGGUGCGCCAUCUGGAGAUCGUAAAACUCCAGAACAUCCAUGAAGAAAGAAGAAAAUGGCGGAACCAGCCCUGCCAUAGCAAAAGGGAGGAAGAAGACGGACCGCCCCGGGUAGCGUGGCGCCGGGCAUCCCUCGCCCAGCGAGACUAUCUCCCGGCCGGUGGCAGAUUCCGGCAUGAAGCGGCGCGGCAGCCCGGCCUGUCUCUCGCUCACGAUGCGGGAAGGCGGCAGCACGCUACCGUCAAGCGGAGCGGAGCCCCGUGCCAUGACGCCGGAAGAAGAGAUGUUUGAGAGCGAGCGCGUGUGGCGAAGGUAGGGCACAGGAAACAAGGAGUUAGGGCGCAAGCGGCGAAGACAAGGGGAAUAAUGGCGAGAGGAAGGAAGCAAAUCUCUUCCUCGGCGACUUUAUACCCUUGCCAACGCUGUGCCCGGCUCCUCGUUUCUCGCGCCCACUAUCUUGCCCCCUCGUUUCUCGCGCCCACGCUUCCACUAAUCCCAUUCGCCCGUUUGCGGUGCAUGAGGUGGAUAUGCGGCUGUGGCAGUCGAGAUGGAACAUAUCGUGCGCGCGUUAAUUACGCUCGCCGACCGAAGCGCCAUCACCAUAUCUCCAGGAAAAACGAACCGGCUUGUCCCGAUUUUUAGACCUGCCCCACCUGUCACCAGGCCUUAGGAAGUGGCGUCACGCCCGACCGCUUCCCUCGAGGAGGGCGAUCGCCCUGGCAUAACGCCGGGGGCUACUGUCAGUGACAUGGGACCGGGAGUAUCAUGACUUAGAGACUUGAGGCAGACACGAUCACCCACGUGGCCUAACCCCCUCGGGGGGGGGGGGGGGGUCGGGCCCGAGGGUGAUACGGCCGCCCUUCUCUUUGUCUCCCCGAGGGGUCGGACCGCUCCCGUCUCGGCCCCGAGGGCCGAGGCGCCCCGACCCCUUGUGGGUUUUGCGCCGCGUAUAUGGGGUAGGUGAGCAUAGCGGGGCUCACCUAACCGCAUUUAUUGCGGUUUGGACGAGCGCGUCACGCCACAUGUAGCGCAGUAUGGCAUGCUCGUUUAUCCGGUCUGUGACCGGUCACAGAUCGGUCAGAUUGCGGGUUAGGAGGCAACAGGCGAUCUGACACACGCCUCGCCCCGUCCCGUCAGGAUGAGAGUCUCUAGGCACUCGUCCCUAGCCGGAGCCAGCGUGCUAGCUCCUGGAGAUGGCACGUUGGUCCUGGUCAGAUAUAUGCCAGGCUUUAUCCCAACCAUUAUAAGCAAGACGUUGUAUGAAGAAGGGCGAACAUGCAGAUUGCUAAACUGACACGUGGUGGACAAAGGUGACCGGUCUGUGACUGGUCUGACACUGGUUAUGUCGCCGGAAGACAACCGUGUUCCCACGUUGCACCUGCUUCCGGCGGAGUGGAGGUAGGUAUGGGCCGUCCCAUCAGAAGGGUCACUCGGGCAGCAGCCGUUGCAAAUCUCCGCCCAUUUAUGAAGAGAUGACAGGGUGAUCCCCGAGGUCAGACGAACGAGGACGCGUGGCCACACUCAAAAACAGGCAGUGUUUCAGCUUCCAAGAGAAGGCAAGCCAAGUUUUACUAUAGAUAGGAUGGGCCCCCACCCAAAAAGAGAGAGAGGUAGAAGUGGUGCAUGUGGUAUCCCCUUAAGAUAUAAAAGGAGGACCUUGCCCACUUAAGAGGGAGAGGCCGGAAGGGGGGAUGAUCUGGAGAGGGGAUCCCACGAGAAAAAAAAAAGGAGAAGAGGGUUUU